rnacentral:misc_RNA from 1 species
UCGAGUUUUGAAACGGGUUGUAGCUGGCCUUCCGAGGCAUGUGCACGCCCUGCUCAUCCACUCUACACCUGUGCACUUACUGUAGGCUUUCGGGAGCUUCGAAAGCAGAGGGGAUUGGCCUUCACAAGCCGGUCUCUAAUGCCUGUAGUUGUGACCGGGGCUUACGUCUUACCACAAACUCUUAUAAGUAUCAGAAUGUGUAUCGCGAUGUAACGCAUCUAUAUA